UUUUUGUAGCUUUUAUUUUUUCAUAAUUAUUAAUUUAAUUAGAUUUUAGCUUAAGUUUGAAAUAAUUACUGUUCUAAUUAAUGAUUAGAUAGAAUAAUUUUAUAUUAAGAUUGCAUACUUUAGAUUAUUUCUCGGAUAUUAUUUCUAUGAUAAUUUCUUUUUUUACGUUUAAAUCAAUGAUUUUCCAUCUUAAUAGUCUGUUUAAAUAGGAAAAAUCAAAAAGUUAGAUUGACGAUCUCCAGGUAUUGUUCGAGGCGAAUUCGUUAACAAGGAUCCAUCGCGUAGAAGAUUCACGCGACUCGGCUUAUCGUCGAUCGUAAUCGCUCACGCCCGGAAUAUCGAGCCAUAAAUUCAAUUAACCUGACGAACAGUAUGCUUGAAUUGUCUUCUUGUGCAUGGAUCUAUCGAGUCAACCGAAACUUCAUUAUCUUGCAUCGAUGUGUGCUUAUCCUUGGGCAAUGACCUUUCAAACUCCGCACAGUCAUACUACAAAGUGGAUAAUAAAAUCCAUAUUGCAAAAUUUUGAUUCGAAAUAUUGUUUUUAUCUAGUUUACUUACCGAGAAUAUAAUUGUCUGAAUAAUGUGAAUUCAAGUAUCAAUAUAUAUUUAAUUAAAUCUUCAAUUAAAUCACUUUAAUUUUUUAAUUUAGUUUUAUUUAAAUUUAUUAUAUUUUAAAACCAAAAAAAAUUUUAUUCUCUAUAUUCCGUAAAUGAUAUGAAAUUUUUGAAAAUAAAUUUUAUACGAUUUUAAUUAUGUGAAGAAUUAAUAUACUUAACUUACGUUGUUUUACAAAUUUAUUGUUCAUUCGUUCAAUUCUUCAUAAAUAUGACAUAGUUGGAUCAGCAAAAUGAUAUUUUCAUAGUAACUUGCACUGUAGCCAUGAUGAGAGUCACGGCAUUUGAAAAGAAUGUUUUCAAGAAAUGCUUAAAGGAACAAAAAUGAAUAGAUAUAUUUGGCUGGAUGUCAAACAAGUAACUUAUGAUACGAUUUAAUAAAAUUAUUUGUACUUUUAAAUUAGAGAAAAAACUUAAAGAUUUAAAUUUCAUAAUACAAUAUAAUAUAAUUUCAUAAUAUAAUAUAACUAGUCUAGUUUCUUUGCACUUCAAAUAACAAAUUGUACCAUUUUACAUCGACUACAGCGCUUUUACUAGGGUUCAUAAUUUCAUAUAAUAGGUGUCGCUCUAUUCAUCUUCUAUAUAUUUGUUUCGUUCGAACGCCAAUCUUUCUUUUCCCGCGUAUUAAAGUUGCAAUGAAACUUCACCUUUAGUACAGCCACCGGACGUACAUAUAUAUGCACCAGGUAGAAAAUUAGCGUAGAACAAUGGAGCAUCUCCCCUACGUAAUUACCGUGCGGUUUGGCCGUUCGAAGGCGAGGGUCUCUAUCCUCUCUUUUGCUCCGUUCCGUUCACCUAGUCCCUGAGACACUGUGAUUAUCGGUAUAUAUAUAUAUAUAUAUACACGCGCGUGCAUAUCGCUAGUUACACGGUUUUAUAUGGAUUUUGUCGUGCACGUGUGCGUCAUAUAGUUAUCCAGUCUUCUACCAUAAUUACCGGGAGGCAACAGAUGCAUGCUUCGAACUUUGCAAAAGCGUUCUUUGAACGUUCAUGCACGUGUCACUACGAGAGUUUGGUUUGUCUUUUUCUCUAUUUUUUUUUAUUUUCUUUUUUUUACACUCUUGAAUGAAUAGUCGCACGCGAUUCUUUUUGAGAACAUUCGAUUUCUUUAAAAUUCUUUUAGCAUGAAUUCAAGAUUAUAAGUGAAAAUAUAUGUAUGUUCCCGCGAGUUGUUUGCAAUUUUUCAUGAAGAUUAAGCUAUUUAGGGUUUUUCUUGAUAAACUUUGAAAUGACUUGUUAUAAUAGUUUAGAAAAUUAUAAUGUAUAAUAGAAAAUUAUAAUUGAAUAAAUAUAUAUAUAAAUGAAUAUAAAUAAGUGAUUAGGUUACAUUAUUAUAUAUGUUUUUGCUUUUAUAAUAUUUUUAGGUUAUCAAUAAUUAUUGACUAAUACAUACAUAUAUAUUAUUCGCUAAGUCAUUAGUUAUGUAUAUAUCACUAAGAUAUGUUCUGUCGAUAUUGAUAUAUACAUUAUACAAAAUAUUGGAAUGAAUUAUUCUAUCAUAUUCAAAAUUUAUAGUAAAUUUUUCUUACGAUUUAUUAUACGAUUAUUUAUUUUAAUUACUUUUUCAAAUAUUUAUUCUAUAGUAUGAUUGAAUAUAGACGAUUUUUUAUAUUAAUUUUUUAAUAAGAUCUCUUCAUUUUAUUAAUUUUUUAAUGAGCUCAAAUUGAAUUGUUGGUAUUAAUUGUAUAAAGAAACAAUGCACGAAUAAUACAACAUAUAUAAUGCACGAUUUUAUCGACGAAAGCGACCGCAUUUUUAUCGCCUGAAUAUCAAGGAUUUUCAUGUUCUUGCCGAGAGACGGCUCUUGUUCCACAAUUUACAGAUAUUCCUAUUGAAUUCACAGUUCGAAAUCGAUCGACAGUAGGGUGUAAAAUUGGAAUAUAUCUUGAAGUCCCAUGAGUACUUAUGCACAAUACCGCGAUGCAUUAUGCACGAACUAUAUUAAAGCAUGACGAGCGUGCCGCGCGCGUUUCUAGCCUGUUUAUUCAACUAGGAAGAACGCCAGGGGCAGCACAGGCGAGUUAAAGAGAGAAAAAAGGAUGCUCAAGGGAAACUCAUUGGAUAAAGAAAGUACUAGUUUGUUAUAGAAGUCAGAGAAUAAAUAUAAAAAGAAGAAAUGAAAGAAGAAAUGAAUGAAAAAAAAAAUUCGGCAGAUGAGAUAAAAAGAAAGCAAGAAAAUGUUGAAAAGUAAAAGUGAGAUGAUCUAUGAGAGAAUAACAAAGAUGGCGUUCUAUCUUGGUAGCAAAGCAAAUAAUAAUAGUGCCGAUGUUAGAAAAAAAAAAUAGUGAGAAGACGAGACAGAAAGAAAACAGACGGCUUUAAGUGAAGUAUGCAUGAAAAUCGAAAAGAGAAAGAACGAUGGUGGAUAAAACGGCAGGAACACGCGACCAAAUGACAAAUCACUCAACGGCCAGAACUUUCGAGCUCUUUGUCCCCUGCUGGCUGGAUGUGACUGAAAGCCUGGCGAAAGAGAAGGGGUUUGAAGAAAGAAAAGAAUAGAAAGCAGAACGGUUGAAAAUGUGACAGGGAUGAAACGAUAAAAAUUAAAGGAGGAGGAAUCUUAGUGGAAUUGUGACUUGAUUUGGAAUUGUAUUCAUCUGACGAAGUGACUGGAUAACUUGAUGAGAGGCGGAAGAGGGAAAUGAAUAAAAAAGAAAGAGUGAGUGUUCUUAACGAAUCAUCCAAAAAUGAAAUGUACAGAGUUUCUUGCUGUCCUUACGGAUUCUUGUCUUACCGGUUGCAACAAUCAGAUAAUAAUUCUACUUCGAGAUUUUGCUUCAUCUUACAUUCUCCUUCUUUUCUUGUCCUUGUUUGCGAAGAGAGUUAAGUGAUAUAAGUACACGAAGAGAAAAUUUAUUUUUAUUUCGAACAUAUUAGUUCAUUGUUUUUGGAAAAGUUAGUUAAUUUUUAAAUUAUCAGCAUUGAUCUUUUAAAUAGAAGUAUAUUUGAAAAAAAUGUUCGCAAAAUAUUAUAAUAUAUCGAUAAUUGAUUAAUUAUAAAAAAAUAUAUUUAUAUAAAUAUUUUUUAUUGAGAAGUUUAAUAUUAAAAAUUCGUUUAUAUAUUUUAUAAUAAAAUAAAAAUAUAUAAAAUAUUAUAUUUAAAAAAAAUUAUAAAAAAUUAUCUUGCAUCGGCCGGGAAUCGAACCCGGGCCGCCCGCGUGGCAGGCGAGCAUUCUACCACUGAACCACCGAUGCUCUUGAAAGCUUUAGUUUUAUUAUUUAAUUUCCUAGUUUUAUUUAUACUAGAAAAUCUAAAUAUGUAAUAUUUUCAAUUAUAAUUUAAUAUUUUAAAUUUAAUCUAUGAUUAAAUAUAAUAAUAUAAAAAUAAUAUUUAGUAAAUCAUUUUAAAAAUAACUUUAUAUAAACAUAAUAGUUUAUAUGGAAAUUUCUUUCGUCAAACAUAACGGUAAACAAUUGUAAUAUUUCAAAUAAACAUUGCUAAGAAUAAAGCAUAAAGAAAGACAAUAACAAA